rnacentral:lncRNA from 1 species
AAAUAAUAAAGAAGAUGAAGAAAAUAGAGAAGUCGAAGAAGGUUUAAGAGAGGAACUUUAUUGAUUUUUUAUUUCAAUGAUUCCAAUUGAUGGAAGAGGGCAUAUUUAUAGGCCUAAAUACAAUAAAUAAAAAUGGUUUUCAUGGCGGAAUCAUGCUUGCUAGAAUCGUGCAGCCAGAAUCACGUGAUGAUGAUGAGAACGGCGUCGGAUGCUUGAUGAAUUGUGGAUGACAAAGGCAUCGGCUGUGGGAUGAGAUGAAUCCUGUUAGGGUUAGUCAACCCUAACUCCAGCUGGUUCUAGGUUUUCCCAAAUUUACCCUUUGGUGUGUUUAUUUUCCUUCUUGCGCUUCUUUCUGUAAUAAACCCUGAGGGGUUUUCUGACAAUAUUGUUAUUAGAGAGAAAUGCAAAGCUUUGUGAACACCAUUCUCCACAUCCUCAGCUUCUUUGCUUUAGAG